AGACAGACACACACACUGAAAGUAAAUGAUUAGACUAAUAUAUGUAUACUCUAUAAGCAUAUGCACACACACACACACAGAAAGACACACAUAUACAUGCACAAACAUUUUGUUGCAGAUAUAGGUAUUUGAAAUAAGUGAUAGGUGACAAUAAACUUAUUGCAAGUCUUCUCUUUUUAAGAGUUUAGAUGUCAUUUUCAGGUUAAACUGUAAUCACAAUGUGGCAAAAUAGUAAAAACUGAUAUAUCUGUAAGAACAAAAUGGAAAACAUUGACUCAAUGAGAUUUAAAAUGUUACAACAGUUACAUUUUUAAUGUUUUGGGAUGAAUUCAUGAAUCCUUUCAACAGUACUGUUCAACUUAACUGAAUGAGCCCAUUAGUGGUCUUCCACUGCCAUCUACAGGUUAUAAAUUGCAUUUACUCAAGCAACACUGUUUUUAAACAUAACUGUUAUAGUGUUUUUUUUUUUUUUUUUUU